rnacentral:rRNA from 1 species
GGGCCCGCACAAGCGGCGGAGCGUGUGGUUUAAUUCGAUGCAACGCGAAGAACCUUACCAAGGCUUGACAUGCUAGUAGUAGGGAGUAGAAAUACGAACGACCCUUCGGGGAGCUAGUGCAGGUGCUGCAUGGCUGUCGUCAGCUCGUGCCGUGAGGUGUUGGGUUAAGUCCCGCAACGAGCGCAACCCCCGUCGUUAGUUACACCUUUCUAACGAGACCGCUGGGAUAAACCCAGAGGAAGGUGGGGAUGACGUCAAGUCAGCAUGGCCCUUACGUCUUGGGCUACACACACGCUACAAUGGCCGGUACAAUGGGCUGCCAAGGCGCGAGCCGGAGCUAAUCCCUCAAAACCGGCCCCAGUUCAGAUUGCAGGCUGCAACUCGCCUGCAUGAAGGCGGAGUCGCUAGUAACCGCAGGUCAGCUACACUGCGGUGAAUACGUUCCCGGGCCUU